rnacentral:rRNA from 1 species
CCUACGGGAGGCAGCAGUGGGGAAUAUUGCACAAUGGGGGAAACCCUGAUGCAGCCAUGCCGCGUGUGUGAAGAAGGCCUUCGGGUUGUAAAGCACUUUCAGUUGUGAGGAAAAGUUAGUAGUUAAUACCUGCUAGCCGUGACGUUAACAACAGAAGAAGCACCGGCUAACUCCGUGCCAGCAGCCGCGGUAAUACGGAGGGUGCGAGCGUUAAUCGGAAUUACUGGGCGUAAAGCGCACGCAGGCGGUUUGUUAAGCUAGAUGUGAAAGCCCCGGGCUCAACCUGGGACGGUCAUUUAGAACUGGCAGACUAGAGUCUUGGAGAGGGGAGUGGAAUUCCAGGUGUAGCGGUGAAAUGCGUAGAUAUCUGGAGGAACAUCAGUGGCGAAGGCGACUCCCUGGCCAAAGACUGACGCUCAUGUGCGAAAGUGUGGGUAGCGAACAGGAUUAGAUACCCUGGUAGUCCACACCGUAAACGCUGUCUACUAGCUGUUUGUGACUUUAAGUCGUGAGUAGCGAAGCUAACGCGAUAAGUAGACCGCCUGGGGAGUACGGCCGCAAGGUUAAAACUCAAGGAAUUGACGG